rnacentral:rRNA from 1 species
AUCAUGGCUCAGGAUAAACGCUGGCGGCGUGCUUAACACAUGCAAGUCGAACGGAGUACUUCUCCCGAGACCGAGGAAGCUUGCUUCCAAAGAAUCAUUUGAAGUACUUAGUGGCGGACGGGUGAGUAACGCGUGGGUAACCUGCCUCACACUGGGGGAUAGCAGUUGGAAACGACUGAUAAUACCGCAUAAGCGCACAGUAUCGCAUGAUACAGUGUGAAAAAACUCCGGUGGUGUGAGAUGGACCCGCGUCUGAUUAGCCAGUUGGCGGGGUAACGGCCCACCAAAGCUACGAUCAGUAGCCGGCCUGAGAGGGUGUACGGCCACAUUGGGACUGAGACACGGCCCAAACUCCUACGGGAGGCAGCAGUGGGGAAUAUUGCACAAUGGGGGAAACCCUGAUGCAAGCGACGCCGCGUGAGUGAUGAAGGCCUUCGGGUUGUAAAGCUCUGUUAUAGUUGACGAAGGAAGUGACGGUAGGCUAUAAGGAAGCCCCGGCUAACUACGUGCCAGCCGCUGC